CAAGUCGAGCGAAGCAGUUAAGUUGUUUUCUUCGGAUUGAUUCUUAACUGACUGAGCGGCGGACGGGUGAGUAACGCGUGGGUGACCUGCCCCAUACCGGGGGAUAACAGCUGGAAACGGCUGCUAAUACCGCAUAAGCGCACAGAGCUGCAUGGCUCGGUGUGAAAAACUCCGGUGGUAUGGGAUGGGCCCGCGUCUGAUUAGGCAGUUGGCGGGGUAACGGCCCACCAAACCGACGAUCAGUAGCCGGCCUGAGAGGGCGACCGGCCACAUUGGGACUGAGACACGGCCCAAACUCCUACGGGAGGCAGCAGUGGGGAAUAUUGCACAAUGGGGGAAACCCUGAUGCAGCGACGCCGCGUGAGCGAAGAAGUAUUUCGGUAUGUAAAGCUCUAUCAGCAGGGAAGAUAAUGACGGUACCUGACUAAGAAGCCCCGGCUAACUACGUGCCAGCAGCCGCGGUAAUACGUAGGGGGCAAGCGUUAUCCGGAUUUACUGGGUGUAAAGGGAGCGUAGACGGCAAGGCAAGUCGGAUGUGAAAACCCAGGGCUUAACCCUGGGACUGCAUUGGAAACUGUCUGGCUCGAGUGCCGGAGAGGUAAGCGGAAUUCCUAGUGUAGCGGUGAAAUGCGUAGAUAUUAGGAAGAACACCAGUGGCGAAGGCGGCUUACUGGACGGUAACUGACGUUGAGGCUCGAAAGCGUGGGGAGCAAACAGG
rnacentral:rRNA from 1 species